rnacentral:rRNA from 1 species
AUUGAACGCUGGCGGCAGGCUUAACACAUGCGAGUCGAGCGGUAACAGAGAGAAGCUUGCUUCUCUGCUGACGAGCGGCGGACGGGUGAGUAAUGCCUAGGAAUCUGCCUAGUAGUGGGGGAUAACUUGCCGAAAGGUAAGCUAAUACCGCAUACGUCCUACGGGAGAAAGGAGGGGACCUUCGGGCCUUUCGCUAUUAGAUGAGCCUAGGUCGGAUUAGUUAGUUGGUGAGGUAAUGGCUCACCAAGACCGCGAUCCGUAACUGGUCUGAGAGGAUGAUCAGUCACACUGGAACUGAGACACGGUCCAGACUCCUACGGGAGGCAGCAGUGGGGAAUAUUGGACAAUGGGGGGAACCCUGAUCCAGCCAUGCCGCGUGUGUGAAGAAGGUCUUAGGAUUGUAAAGCACUUUAAGUUGGGAGGAAGAGCAGUUAACUAAUAUUUGACUGUUUUGACGUUACCGACAGAAUAAGCACCGGCUAACUUCGUG